CCACGUGGAUAUUUGGUUUGCUGCCAAUUUUCACGUCCAUACUAGUUCAACUUCUAUAUUACCAAAUUUGGUUGAAAGAUUUUGGCACUAAAAUCUUAGUAUAUGGCAAAAAUUAUCUUCAAACCGAACAAGUUCUAUACUAGUGUCAAAACUUGAUGAGGUUUUAACACUAUAAAAAAUUAGUAAGGUAAAAAUUGGCUCCAAACCAAACAAGCCUACU
rnacentral:misc_RNA from 1 species